UACGUAGGGUGCAAGCGUUAUCCGGAAUUAUUGGGGCGUAAAAGAGCUCGUAGGCGGUUUGUCGCGUCUGCUGUGAAAACUGGAGGCUCAACCUCCAGCCUGCAGUGGGUACGGGCAGACUAGAGUGCGGUAGGGGGAGAUUGGAAUUCCUGGUGUAGCGGUGGAAUGCGCAGAUAUCAGGAGGAACACCGAUGGCGAAGGCAGAUCUCUGGGCCGUAACUGACGCUGAGGAGCGAAAGCAUGGGGGAGCGAACAGGG
rnacentral:rRNA from 1 species